AUGGGGGAGGCGCUGGCGUGGAUAUUAAGGGAAAGUUAGUGCAAAGGCAGCACCCCUCUUUUGCUGUCAUUGACAUUUAAACUGUGUGGCAGGUUCUUGCGUGGAAAUUGGCGACCGGAGCCGCCAGGUACCUCCUCCCGCCCGCGACACCGCCGCGCGCGGGCCCUCCGCGCCCGCUGACAGGAUGCGUGGGGCGGGACGCCCGGGCUCGGCCACCGGCAACUAGGAGAGGACUCGCCCGGGAAGGGGGACAGCAGCGGGACACCGGAAUUCAAGAUCACACAACCAGCAGCUUCAGUGGAGAAAAACUAUUUUGCUGGCAACUCUUUUUAAAGCACCAUCAUUUCAAAUCAGUGCGCUCUUAA
rnacentral:lncRNA from 1 species